rnacentral:rRNA from 1 species
GACGAACGCUGGCGGCGUGCUUAACACAUGCAAGUCGAACGGUGAAGCGCCUUCCUUUUUGGUGUGUGUGGAUGAGUGGCGAACGGGUGAGUAACACGUGAGUAACCUGCCCCCUCCUUCUGGAUAACCGCAAGAAAGUGUGGCUAAUACGGGAUAUUCUGGGUCUGUCGCAUGAUGGGUCUGGGACAGAUAUUGUUUCGGUGGGGGAUGGGCGCGCGGCCUAUUAGCUUGUUGGUGGGGUGAUGGCCUACCAAGGCGGUGACGGGUAGCCGGCCUGAGAGAGUGGACGGACACGAUCGGAGUGAGGGUCCGCACAGAUACGGAAGGGAGGAGGCGGGAAGGAAGAUUGAUGAGCGGGAGCAUGACGGAGGCAGGCACGGCGUGUGAGGGAGGGAUGCGGUUGGUAAAUGACCCUCUUUCGGGAGUAAAGUAGGUCUGCCUAGUUUGUGGGUGGUUUGACGUUAGCUGGAUAGAAGCGCCGGCUAACUACGUG